rnacentral:rRNA from 1 species
UGUGUUUGUUGUAAGGGCGCACGGUGGAUGCCUGGGCAUGUCAAGCCGAUGAAGGACGUGAAGGGCUGCGUUAAGCCUCGGGGAGUUGCCGAUUAAGCGUUGAUCCGAGGAUGUCCGAAUGGGGAAACCCGGCCGUGGUUAUGUGCGGUCACCUGCUGCUGAAUGAAAUAGGUGGUAUGGGGGUUACGCGGGGAAGUGAAACAUCUCAGUACCCGUAGGAGAAGAAAACAAUAUGUGAUUCCGUUAGUAGUGGCGAGCGAAGGCGGAGGUGAUGGCUAAACUCUAUGCGUGGAUGAUACUUGGUAGGGGUUGCGUGUAGGGGGUUGUGGGAUGCGUGUGUCUGGCUGGCUACCACUGGCUGGCACCCUUGGAUUGUGUGUUAGGGGAAGUGGUGUGGAAUCGCCUGCCGUAGACGGUGAGAGUCCGGUACCUGAAGACAUGUGGUUGGGGUGUGUGCGUAUUUUCCCGAGUAGCAGCGGGCUCGUGGAAUCUGCUGUGAAUCUGCCGGGACCACCCGGUAAGCCUGAAUACUUGGCGUGACCGAUAGUGUAGUUAGUACCGUGAGGGAAGGGUGAAAAGUACCCCGGGAGGGGAGUGAAAUAGUUCCUGAAACCGUGUGCUUACAAUCCGUCAUAGCCCCUUGUGUGGGGUGGUGGCGUGCCUUUUGAAGAAUGAGCCUGCGAGUCAGCGGCAUGUCGCGAGGUUAACCCGUGUGUGUGGGGUAGUCGUAGCGAAAGCGAAUCCUAAUGAGGGUGUGUUAAGUGGCAUGUUCUGGACCCGAAGCGGGGUGAUCUACCCAUGGCCAGUGUGAAGCGGUGGUAAAACAUUGUGGAGGCGCGAACCCACUUAGGUUGAAAACUGAGGGGAUGAGCUGUGGGUAGGGGUGAAAGGCCAAUCAAACUCCGUGAUAGCUGGUUCUCCCCGAAAUGCAUUUAGGUGCAGCGUUGCGUGGUUGUUGUUGGUGGUAGAGCGACUGGUUGGUUGAUGCGGGACGAUCAUCUUAGCGAUGCCAGCUAAACUCCGAAUGCCAAUAAUAUGCGAGCGUGGCAGUGAGACGGCGGGGGAUAAGCUCCGUGACGUCGAGAGGGAAACAGCCCAGAUCGUCGGUUAAGGCCCCUAAGGGUGUGCUGAGUGGAAAAGGAGGUGUCAUCGCGAAGACAGCCAGGAGGUUGGCUUAGAAGCAGCCAUCCUUGAAAGAGUGCGUAAUAGCUCACUGGUUAAGUGGUGAUGCGCCGAUAAUGUAGUGGGGCUUAUAAAGUACACCGCCGAAACCGCGGCAACAUGCACGUCUUUGGUGUGUGUUGGGUAGGGGAGCGUCGUGCAUGCUGAGAAGCUGUCACGGAAGUGGUGGUGGAGUGUGUGCGAGUGAGAAUGCAGGCAUGAGUAGCGAAAAACAUGUGGAAAACGUGUUCGCCGGAUGACUAAGGGUUCCUGGGUGAAGCUAAUCUUCCCAGGGUGAGUCGGGACCUAAGGCGAGGCCGACAGGCGUAGUCGAUGGAUAACGGGUUGAUAGUCCCGUACCCGUGUAUACGCGACCAGUGGUGACUCGGUUGUACUAACCACCCACUACCAUUGAUGGUCACACGUUGUGUGUUUGUUGGUGUGUGGUGCGUGGGAUCUUGAUCGUUGGUAGCCAAGCGAUGGGGUGACACAGAUUGGUAGUCAAGGCCACUUAUUGGAUUGUGGUGUAAGCGUGUGGCCCGCAGGAUAGGUAAAUCCGUUCUGCAUAUAAGGGUGAGGCGUGAUGCGUACCCAGAUUGUUGGGGAUGUUUGAUGUGCCUGUGCUGUCGAGAAAAGCCUCUAGCGAUGUGUGUGCACGGCCCGUACCGGAAACCGACACAGGUGGUCUGGUUGAGGAUACUAAGGCGUUCGGGUGAACUAUGGUUAAGGAACUCGGCAAAAUGCCCCCGUAACUUCGGGAGAAGGGGGGCCAUGUGCGGCAAUCACCCUUGUGCGGUGUGCGUUGUGUGUGGCCGCAGAGAAGUGAGGGAAGCGACUGUUUAUUAAAAACACAGGUCCGUGCGAAGACGUUGCAAGUCGAGGUAUACGGACUGACGCCUGCCCGGUGCUGGAAGGUUAAGAGGACUCGUGAGCACGCCCGUGUGGUGUGUGAGGCGGGUAAUUGAAGCCCCAGUAAACGGCGGUGGUAACUAUAACCAUCCUAAGGUAGCGAAAUUCCUUGUCGGGUAAGUUCCGACCUGCACGAAUGGCGUAACGACUUCCCUGCUGUCUCAACCAUAGGCCCGGUGAAAUUGCAGUACGAGUAAAGAUGCUCGUUUCGCGCGGCAGGACGAAAAGACCCCGGGACCUUUACUAUAGCUUGGUAUUGGUGUGUGCUGCAGCUUGUGUAGGAUAGGUGGGAGACGUGGAAGCAUUCACGCUAGUGGGUGUGGAGUCGAUUGGUGAAAUACCACUCUGGUUGUUGUGUGCAUCUAACUGUGGGCCCUGAUCGGGUUUUGGGACAGUGCCUGGUGGGUAGUUUAACUGGGGCGGUUGCCUCCUAAAUGGUAACGGAGGCGCCCAAAGGUUCCCUCGGCUUGGUUGGUAAUCAGGUUUUAGAGUGUAAGUGCAGUAAGGGAGCUUGACUGUGACACUGACGGGUGGAGCAGGUGCGAAAGCAGGGACUAGUGAUCCGGCAUCAACGUGUGGGUGUGGUGUCGCUCAACGGAUAAAAGGUACCCCGGGGAUAACAGGCUGAUCUUCCCCAAGAGUUCAUAUCGACGGGAUGGUUUGGCACCUCGAUGUCGGCUCGUCGCAUCCUGGGGCUGGAGUAGGUCCCAAGGGUUGGGCUGUUCGCCCAUUAAAGCGGCACGCGAGCUGGGUUUAGAACGUCGUGAGACAGUUCGGUCUCUAUCCGCCGCGCGCGUGGAAACUUGAACAAGGCUGUCCCUAGUACGAGAGGACCGGGAUGGACGUACCUCUAGUGUGCCAGUUGUCACGCCGGUGGCAUGGCUGGUUGGCUAUGUGCGGGAGGGAUAACCGCUGAAAGCAUCUAAGCGGGAAGCCUGUUGUGAGAUGAGGUUUCUGUUGAGGUUCCCUGUAGAUGAGGGGGUUGAUAGGUCGGAGUUGGAAGCAUCGUAAGGUGUUGUGAGAUGACCGAUACUAAUAUGACCGACACAAACACACC